rnacentral:rRNA from 1 species
GACGAACGCUGGCGGCGUGCUUAACACAUGCAAGUCGAACGGAAAGGCCCUGCUUUUGUGGUGUGCUCGAGUGGCGAACGGGUGAGUAACACGUGAGUAACCUGCCCUUGACUUUGGGAUAACUUCAGGAAACUGGGGCUAAUACCGGAUAGGAGCUCCUGCUGCAUGGUGGGGGUUGGAAAGUUUCGGCGGUUGGGGAUGGACUCGCGGCUUAUCAGCUUGUUGGUGGGGUAGUGGCUUACCAAGGCUUUGACGGGUAGCCGGCCUGAGAGGGUGACCGGCCACAUUGGGACUGAGAUACGGCCCAGACUGCUACGGGAGGCAGCAGUGGGGAAUAUUGCACAAUGGGCGGAAGCCUGAUGCAGCAACGCCGCGUGCGGGAUGACGGCCUUCGGGUUGUAAACCGCUUUCGCCUGUGACGAAGCGUGAGUGACGGUAAUGGGUAAAGAAGCACCGGCUAACUACGUG